UUGCUGGGGGGAUUAGUGGCGAACGGGUGAGUAACACGUGAGUAACCUGCCCUUGACUCUGGGAUAAGCCUGGGAAACUGGGUCUAAUACCGGAUAUGACUCCUCAUCGCAUGGUGGGGGGUGGAAAGCUUUUGUGGUUUUGGAUGGACUCGCGGCCUAUCAGCUUGUUGGUGGGGUAAUGGCCUACCAAGGCGACGACGGGUAGCCGGCCUGAGAGGGUGACCGGCCACACUGGGACUGAGACACGGCCCAGACUCCUACGGGAGGCAGCAGUGGGGAAUAUUGCACAAUGGGCGCAAGCCUGAUGCAGCGACGCCGCGUGAGGGAUGACGGCCUUCGGGUUGUAAACCUCUUUCAGUAGGGAAGAAGCGAAAGUGACGGUACCUGCAGAAGAAGCGCCGGCUAACUACGUGCCAGCAGCCGCGGUAAUACGUAGGGCGCAAGCGUUAUCCGGAAUUAUUGGGCGUAAAGAGCUCGUAGGCGGUUUGUCGCGUCUGCUGUGAAAGACCGGGGCUCAACUCCGGUUCUGCAGUGGGUACGGGCAGACUAGAGUGCAGUAGGGGAGACUGGAAUUCCUGGUGUAGCGGUGAAAUGCGCAGAUAUCAGGAGGAACACCGAUGGCGAAGGCAGGUCUCUGGGCUGUAACUGACGCUGAGGAGCGAAAGCAUGGGGAGCGAACAGGAUUAGAUACCCUGGUAGUCCAUGCCGUAAACGUUGGGCACUAGGUGUGGGGGACAUUCCACGUUUUCCGCGCCGUAGCUAACGCAUUAAGUGCCCCGCCUGGGGAGUACGGCCGCAAGGCUAAAACUCAAAGGAAUUGACGGGGGCCCGCACAAGCGGCGGAGCAUGCGGAUUAAUUCGAUGCAACGCGAAGAACCUUACCAAGGCUUGACAUGAACCGGUAAUACCUGGAAACAGGUGCCCCGCUUGCGGUCGGUUUACAGGUGGUGCAUGGUUGUCGUCAGCUCGUGUCGUGAGAUGUUGGGUUAAGUCCCGCAACGAGCGCAACCCUCGUUCUAUGUUGCCAGCGCGUUAUGGCGGGGACUCAUAGGAGACUGCCGGGGUCAACUCGGAGGAAGGUGGGGACGACGUCAAAUCAUCAUGCCCCUUAUGUCUUGGGCUUCACGCAUGCUACAAUGGCCGGUACAAAGGGUUGCGAUACUGUGAGGUGGAGCUAAUCCCAAAAAGCCGGUCUCAGUUCGGAUUGGGGUCUGCAACUCGACCCCAUGAAGUCGGAGUCGCUAGUAAUCGCAGAUCAGCAACGCUGCGGUGAAUACGUUCCCGGGCCUUGUACACACCGCCCGUCAAGUCACGAAAGUUGGUAACACCCG
rnacentral:rRNA from 1 species